GAUGAAGAACGUAGCGAAAUGCGAUACUUGGUGUGAAUUGCAGAAUCCCGUGAACCAUCGAGUCUUUGAACGCAAGUUGCGCCUCAAGCCAUUAGGUUGAGGGCACGUCUGCCUGGGCGUCACAUAUCGUUGCCUGAUGCCAGUUUCCUCGUGAUGGGUGACUGUGCAGGGCGAAUGAUGGCUUCCCGUGAGCAUUGUUGCCUCAUGGUUGGUUGAAAAUUGAGUCCUUGGUAGGGAGCGCCGUGCUAGAUGGUGGUUGAGUGACGAACGAGACCCAAUCAUGUGAGACCCCUACCGAAUUUGGCCUUCAUGACCCACAUGCGUCUUUGGAACGCUCAUGACGAGACCUCAGGUCAGGCGGGGCUACCCGCUGAGUUUAAGCAUAUCAAUAAGCGGAGGA
rnacentral:misc_RNA from 1 species